CAGGCACACAUCCACAGAGCACUCUUCAAAUCAUCUACACAGUGGUUAUCCAACUAGGAUUAUAAAGGCACACAUUGACAUUGACCACUGUUGCAGUCAACGACACAGUCGCUAUCCAAGUAGCAUUAUAGAGCUGUCAUGCAACGCAACAACUGUGCUAUCUGCCAUCGCACAUCAACGAAGAAGUGCAGCCGCCCACAUUCCACCUCACGUCUGUCCGACCAGCUGCAAUCCUCGAGGACGCCCCACUGUACCACGAUUUCACUUCGAUGUUUGACAAGAAGGAGCAGUGCGCGAGAUAGGCUAAUGAGCAGACUUCCCUCGCUUGAGUUUCGGAAGAAUGUUCCAUAUCGCGCUAAGCUGACCACUGCUGACCAUGACA